GAUGAAGAACGCAGCGAAAUGCGAUAAGUAAUGUGAAUUGCAGAAUUCCGUGAAUCAUCGAAUCUUUGAACGCACAUUGCGCCCCCUGGUAUUCCGGGGGGCAUGCCUGUCCGAGCGUCAUUGCUGCCCUCAAGCACGGCUUGUGUGUUGGGCCCCGUCCUCCGAUCCCGGGGGACGGGCCCGAAAGGCAGCGGCGGCACCGCGUCCGGUCCUCGAGCGUAUGGGGCUUUGUCACCCGCUCUGUAGGCCCGGCCGGCGCUUGCCGAUCAACCCAAAUUUUUAUCCAGGUUGACCUCGGAUCAGGUAGGGAUACCCGCUGAACUUAAGCAUAUCAAUAAGCGGAGGA
rnacentral:misc_RNA from 1 species